GAUGAACGCUGGCGGCGUGCCUAAUACAUGCAAGUCGAGCGAAUGGAUUAAGAGCUUGCUCUUAUGAAGUUAGCGGCGGACGGGUGAGUAACACGUGGGUAACCUGCCCAUAAGACUGGGAUAACUCCGGGAAACCGGGGCUAAUACCGGAUAACAUUUUGAACCGCAUGGUUCGAAAUUGAAAGGCGGCUUCGGCUGUCACUUAUGGAUGGACCCGCGUCGCAUUAGCUAGUUGGUGAGGUAACGGCUCACCAAGGCAACGAUGCGUAGCCGACCGGAGGGGGUGAUCGGCAACACUGGGACUGAGAAACGGCCCAGACUCCUACGGGAGGCAGCAGUAGGGAAUCUUCCGCAAUGGACGAAAGUGUGACGGAGCAACGCCGCGUGAGUGAUGAAGGCUUUCGGGUCGUAAAACUCUGUUGUUAGGGAAGAACAAGUGCUAGUUGAAUAAGCUGGCACCUUGACGGUACCUAACCAGAAAGCCACGGCUAACUACGUGCCAGCCGCCGCAGUAA
rnacentral:rRNA from 1 species